rnacentral:rRNA from 1 species
CCUACGGGAGGCAGCAGUGGGGAAUAUUGCACAAUGGGGGAAACCCUGAUGCAGCGACGCCGCGUGAGUGAAGAAGUAAUUCGUUAUGUAAAGCUCUAUCAGCAGGGAAGAAAAUGACGGUACCUGUGUAAGAAGCCCCGGCUAACUACGUGCCAGCAGCCGCGGUAAUACGUAGGGGGCAAGCGUUAUCCGGAUUUACUGGGUGUAAAGGGAGCGUAGACGGGAGUGCAAGUCUGGAGUGAAAGGCGGGGGCUCAACCCCCGGACUGCUCUGGAAACUGUACGGCUGGAGUGCAGUAGAGGUAAGCGGAAUUCCUAGUGUAGCGGUGAAAUGCGUAGAUAUUAGGAGGAACACCAGUGGCGAAGGCGGCUUACUGGACUGUAACUGACGUUGAGGCUCGAAAGCGUGGGGAGCAAACAGGAUUAGAUACCCGAGUAGUC